rnacentral:rRNA from 1 species
GACGAACGCUGGCGGCGUGCUUAACACAUGCAAGUCGAACGAUGAACCGGUUUCGGCCGGGGAUUAGUGGCGAACGGGUGAGUAACACGUGGGCAAUCUGCCCUGCACUCUGGGAUAAGCCCGGGAAACUGGGUCUAAUACCGGAUACGACACUCCGAGGCAUCUUGGGGUGUGGAAAGUUCCGGCGGUGCAGGAUGAGCCCGCGGCCUAUCAGCUUGUUGGUGGGGUAAUGGCCUACCAAGGCGACGACGGGUAGCCGGCCUGAGAGGGUGACCGGCCACACUGGGACUGAGACACGGCCCAGACUCCUACGGGAGGCAGCAGUGGGGAAUAUUGCACAAUGGGCGAAAGCCUGAUGCAGCGACGCCGCGUGAGGGAUGACGGCCCUCGGGUUGUAAACCUCUUUCAGCAGGGAAGAAGCGAAAGUGACGGUACCUGCAGAAGAAGCACCGGCUAACUACGUG